GGGCGGUUAGCUCAGUUGGUAGAGCGCCACGUUUACACCGUGGAUGUCGGCGGUUCGAGCCCGUCACCGCCCACCA
rnacentral:tRNA from 5 species